rnacentral:lncRNA from 1 species
UAAUAUCAGCAGUUUUAAUUGUAAAUUGACCAAUUGUAUAUUCUCAGAAAUGAUGACUUCCUUUCAUUCUGUGAUGGUUUUGAUACAACCUCCCUUUGUAAUGAUGCCUGUAAAAAUUAAUGAGUCCUGGUAUGAGGAUCAAGGGUUACAAAUGUUGGUAGAGGUAGAGAAAGCUAUGUGUCAAGCCUGCACAACCUAUGGUGUAACCCCUGCAGAGGCUGGCAGUCAAAGACAGUGUGAUAGUGGACAGUAGGACAGGGCUCAAUCAGAGCCCAGCAUGUCCCGAAGUAAAAGGAAAAGCAGUGCAAUGUGGAGGGGACCGCUGGGAAGCACAAAGUGAUAACCAUGGAAAGAAAAG